CGAAGUGUGGCGGAAUAGGCAGACGCAUUAGUUUCAAAAACUAAAGAGGUCAUUCUUGUGCGGGUUCAAGUCCCGCCACUUCGACCA
rnacentral:tRNA from 1 species